UGCGUAGGCGGAUUAAUAAGUCAGUGGUGAAAUCUUUCGGCUCAACCGAGAAACUGCCAUUGAUACUGUUAAUCUUGAGUUCGGUUGAGGUAGGCGGAAUGUGUAAUGUAGCGGUGAAAUGCUUAGAUAUUACACAGAACACCAAUUGCGUAGGCAGCUUACUAGACCGACACUGACGCUGAGGCACGAAAGCGUGGGGAGCGAACAGGAUUAGAUACCCUGGUAGUCA
rnacentral:rRNA from 1 species